rnacentral:rRNA from 1 species
GAUGAACGCUAGCUACAGGCUUAACACAUGCAAGUCGAGGGGCAGCGGGAUUGAAGCUUGCUUCAAUUGCCGGCGACCGGCGCACGGGUGAGUAACGCGUAUCCAACCUUCCGCUUACUCGGGGAUAGCCUUUCGAAAGAAAGAUUAAUACCCGAUGGUAUCUUAAGCACGCAUGAGAUUAAGAUUAAAGAUUUAUCGGUAAGCGAUGGGGAUGCGUUCCAUUAGGCAGUUGGCGGGGUAACGGCCCACCAAGGCUUCGAUGGAUAGGGGUUCUGAGAGGAAGGUCCCCCACAUUGGAACUGAGACACGGUCCAA